AAGCUCUGGAGAAACUCAUUUAUGAGUGCCGAAGGUGCAAGGCCGUAAGACCGAAUCUCUCAGGCAAAAAGACAGAGAA
rnacentral:ncRNA from 1 species